rnacentral:lncRNA from 1 species
UUUAUUUUGCUGAGUCAGAUGAAGUGCGUGGUCACACGCUUUUAAAAGCGGGUGAAUACACUAGGUUUGAUUUUUAAAAAAAAAUACUAAAAUCAAAAAAAAAAAUUAUCUUUGACGGCUCCCAAGAAGAGUUUUACGCUUGGUAAUCCGGUGACUGUUGCUUCAUGGAAAACAAUAAUUAUCGUCAUGGAAAACAAGAGGCCUCAAAGGCUCAUUACGUCACCCAUUAGUGAUUCUCAUGGGAGAUAAUCAAUCAACUUAUCUCCAUACAAACCAAAAUGAAAUUUUUCUCACUCUCCAGAUCUGCACAAAGAACAAAUAUGUGAACUAUUGUCAAAGUAAUACAGAAAUAUCAGAAUUAGAAGAGCAAAUAUUCAAGCGAAAUCAAAUUCCGGCCAAAUUUUUUGCCAAGAUUUGGUAGUUCGCCUAAGUUUAUUUAGGGUCUAAUAACAUAAAAGAAAGAGAGGAAUUCGCCGGCCAGUGUUGUGGUGGAACGAAGGUCCCGAAAAGUUAUAUUUCCGAUCAGAUCUAAUUUAUUCGGCUAGGUCCAGCCCUGUAAAAAACUAACAAACAGUUAGAGAAAAUAAAACAGGGGAGAAGGGAAGAUGAAGAAGAGAAACGACAGAGAUAAGGAGUGAAACAACAAUCACCGGAUUCUGAGGUGGGGGUGAGUUUAUCUGCGUUCGAGCUCCCAAGAAGAGUUUUAUGCUUGGGAAGAGUUUUAGAAUCAUUAUCUGAUUUUGUGCAUUUUGUAAUGGGUUUUAUAGGAAUUGUAGGAAGAAAAAAAGAGAUAGUAUGAUUGCUCAUCAUGGGAGAAGCCAUGAAAGGUUCUGGGUUACGCUUGAAAGAUGAAGAAUUGGUUGAGAGGAGGGGGAGGGGGAGAGGUUAAUAAUCAUUUCCCGUUUUAUUUUCCUAUGUGUCCAUAAAAAGUGACGUGGAGCCUAAGUGGUUUAAUUUUGUUGAUGUGGCGUCCUACGUGUAGGAGAUUGUAUCACACGCACUGACAGCCU